rnacentral:rRNA from 1 species
GAUGAACGCUGGCGGCGUGCUUAACACAUGCAAGUCGAACGGGAAACCUUUUAUUGAAGCUUCGGCAGAUUUCGCUGGUUUCUAGUGGCGGACGGGUGAGUAACGCGUGGGUAACCUGCCCUAUACAGGGGGAUAACAACCAGAAAUGGUUGCUAAUACCGCAUAAGCGCACAGGGCCGCAUGGUCCGGUGUGAAAAACUCCGGUGGUAUAGGAUGGACCCGCGUUGGAUUAGCCAGUUGGCAGGGUAACGGCCUACCAAAGCGACGAUCCAUAGCCGGCCUGAGAGGGUGAACGGCCACAUUGGGACUGAGACACGGCCCAGACUCCUACGGGAGGCAGCAGUGGGGAAUAUUGCACAAUGGGGGAAACCCUGAUGCAGCGACGCCGCGUGAAGGGAGAAGUAUCUCGGUAUGUAAACUUCUAUCAGCAGGGAAGAUAGUGACGGUACCUGACUAAGAAGCCCCGGCUAACUACGUG